rfam:Hordeum vulgare subsp. vulgare, WGS project CAJW01000000 data, contig: morex_contig_63439
AUACUACUCUCUCUGUCACAAAAUUUUUGUCUUAAGUUUAUUUAGAAAUGAAUGUUUUUAGAUAUUAAAACGUGACUAGAUACAUUCAUAUCUAGUCAAAUCUAAGACAAGAAUUUUAAGACGGAAUGAGUACUAG